rnacentral:rRNA from 1 species
GAUGAACGCUGGCGGCGUGCCUAAUACAUGCAAGUCGAGCGAAUGGAUUAAGAGCUUGCUCUUAUGAAGUUAGCGGCGGACGGGUGAGUAACACGUGGGUAACCUGCCCAUAAGACUGGGAUAACUCCGGGAAACCGGGGCUAAUACCGGAUACCAUUUUGAACCGCAUGGUUCGAAAUUGAAAGGCGGCUUCGGCUGUCACUAUGGAUGGACCCGCGUCGCAUUAGCUAGUUGGUGAGGUAACGGCUCACCAAGGCAACGAUGCGUAGCCGACCUGAGAGGGUGAUCGGCCACACUGGGACUGAGACACGGCCCAGACUCCUACGGGAGGCAGCAGUAGGGAAUCUUCCGCAAUGGACGAAAGUCUGACGGAGCAACGCCGCGUGAGUGAUGAAGGCUUUCGGGUCGUAAAACUCUGUUGUUAGGGAAGAACAAGUGCUAGUUGAAUAAGCUGACACCUUGACGGUACCUAACCAGAAAGCCACGGCUAACUACGUGCCAGCAGCCGCAGUAA